AGCUGGUCUGAAGGUAGUGAGUUAUCGCAUUGAAUGUUCACAGUCAGUUACAGAUUGAACGCCUUGUUCUACCCUUUUCCUCCUCCUCACUGCUGCACUUGACUAGCCUUAC
ensembl:misc_RNA Y_RNA Y RNA